GUGGGGUUGGAGGAGUAGACGUCUUUAACACCAGAGAAUCCUCCGCUUACUCGGCAGUAUUUAUCUAUAGCCUGCAGAAAAUGUGGAAAAAGUCUGGGAAAUGGGAAGAAUGAAAACGAGGGAGGGAAGGAGAGAAAGAGCUCAGGCACCCAGUGGCUCAUCAAAAGAAGCCCAAUUGCAGUGAAACAGUACUGUACCGGCAGAACAAUGACACCCAAUAAGAGAAAAAACAAAUGACGCUCCAUUCUCAAGAGCACUUUGAAAUUGUUCUAGAAACACAAACACAUUCCCUAAAAAACAGUCCAGGUCUGGCCGGAAUAAGAGUGACAUGAAAAUAAAGGGAAGCAUAAAUCAAAAAAAAAAAAAAAAUAA